rnacentral:tRNA from 1 species
GGACGCUUAGCUCAGUUGGUUAGAGCACCUGCUUCACACGCAGGGGGUCUGCGGUUCGAGUCCGCAAGCGUCCACCA